UUAGGGGCUGAAAAGUCGUGUCAAACCUCAAUGGAUAGAAGAUGAUGUGUGGGAUUCGCUCUGUACUUAUUGGAAUGCUGACACUGGGUUUCUAAAAAAGAGCGCGCAAGGCAAGUCAAAUCGAGCAUCUGAUUGCGGCGGAUUUGGAGCGUCUCUUCAUACUGCUGGCCCAAUUUCCAUUAGCCAACACAAAACUAAUAUGAAAAAAUCAUUAAAGAGGACUCCAACACUGUUAGAAUUGUUUGCGAAGACCCACAAACACAAGGAUGAGACAUGGGUGGAUAAGAAAUCAAAAUAUGUUGAGAAUGCUAAAGAAGAGGCU